rnacentral:rRNA from 1 species
AAAGGUAAGCUACUAAGAGCGAAUGGUGGAUGCCUUGACUGGUAAAGGCGAUGAAGGACGUACUAGACUGCGAUAAGCUACGGGGAGCUGUCAAGAAGCUUUGAUCCGUAGAUUUCCGAAUGGGGCAACCCAAUGUAUAGAGAUAUACAUUACCUAUAUAGGAGCGAACGAGGGGAAUUGAAACAUCUUAGUACCCUCAGGAAAAGAAAUCAAUAGAGAUUGCGUCAGUAGCGGCGAGCGAAAGCGCAAGAGGGCAAACCCAGUGCUUGCACUGGGGGUUGUAGGACUGCAAUGUGCAAGAGGUAAGUUUAGCAGAACAUUCUGGAAAGUAUAACCAU